CUGGAAUAUGUUUUUAAAGCCGUUGAAACUGUUUUAACUGGUGCUGGGCCAAGUUUUGUUUAUCAAUUGAAUUGCUUGGGUGUUGAUCAAACUUGUGUUGAGGUGAAUUGAGCUUGCGGAAAGAAAAGGCAUGUCGUUAUUUGCAAAAAUGGUGCUUUCGUCUAAUCAAUUUGAAACGCGACCAGUUUGCGUGAUCCAAUCUAAUAGCUUCUAGGUCAUCAAACGGCAACACAGAUGGUGAUCCAUACAGUAUGAAGAUGAACACAAAUGAAGAUCCAUACACUUUUGAAACAACAAAAUAACUAAAGAAGACAGACACACGGUGACGACACGGUGGGAAAAAGGUGUCUCAUCUCGCACCUAAAACCGAAACGAUGGGCAUAAGAAGUAUCGCGUUUCAAGGAGGGUUAGGAGAUGAACGUUAUGAAUGAACCAAGCAAGUACAGGUAACUAAACGUCCAGUUGUAGAAGCCGAACGCAAUAGGGUUGGUGAGAUGGACAGGCGCAACAGGCACUACAAAAAACAUAAUAUGUACAAAUAAAAAAAGAAGAACAUGCAUCGCAGCCGCGUAGCUGUGAAUGAGAGUUUAAAUAAAGAACGUACGGAAGUACUCCGGCAAGAAAUACAAACUUAACAACCAUUGAAUUCUCUACUUUACUUUCCGAAAUCAGCCAAGGACGUGUGUGAUUACUUAGCAAAGCGAAACAAAAUCGCAAGUCUAUUAACGACUAUAUUCAGAAGCUUUAACAUAAUCAUAUAUCGGCCUAUGACUGGAAAUGAAGUUGAUUAUGGCAAACAAUUGAUAAUGAUGAUGAAUUUUACAAAUGCAAGUUCGACAUCGCCCUUGCAAGAUUCAUGCAAAAUAUCAUAGAAAAAAGUAAUUAAUUCACAUUGGCUUAAGGCGUUAAUUUUAGCAACAUUGUAAUAAACACAAUUACAACGCUGUCGUUUAAAAACGGUUUUACACUCAUUUAAUAUCGGACUUAUUAUAUGUUUUACAAAAAAAGACCUGCAUCCUUCUUAGUUUGGUUGAUGUUCACUACAUAUUGUUGAUGUUUUCAGCUACCAAGUAAUGCAGGGAGAGGAAUAUUAAAAAAACCCACAUGUCCAAUUCAACCUUUCAAACUGAGAUGGAUGCAUUAUGGGACAAACACAUACACACUUAUUUCUUUGAAGUGUUGAACGGAAAUCCACAAACUUAAACACACAACAGUAGAUUUUGAUAUGUGCUAUAAUAAUCCUAUCACACAAUUUAAGACAAAUAAUUCCUGUAAUUUUUCGAUCCAAUUACGUUGAUGAGAUCAACGAUAGCUUCAAAUUGUUGCCACUGUGGCGCCGUUUCCUGAGUAUAAACAUUAGCGUCCAAGUACUGCAGGACUCAUCAUUUAUAAUUUACAGGGUUUUCAAUGAUAUUAUUGACGUGUUCAGCGAGUUGUUGAUUCGUUCGGGCAUAUAAUUGAUACUUUCAGCGAGGUAUUGAAGUGUUCGGAAGCAGGCGUUGACAAGUUCGGCGAUACUAUAGAGCUGUCACUUUCGUACCCCUUGGACUGCAGCUUGGAUCUUUCCCAUCAGAAGGUAAACAAACAGUUUUCAAAAAAAUGGGCUGGUUUUAACUAAUAUAUAAUAAUGAGUCCAAGUAGAGAGAACCUAUUUAUUCUAACUCCAAAUUACAACUGCCGGUAAACGCGCUUCAAGCCCAGGAGCCGCGUUGCGCUGACUUGCAACUGGAGACCGCUGUCGUCUGGUCCCACGGUCGAUUGUCACUGGAGACCGCUGUCGUCUGGUCCCACGGUCGCUUGUCACUGGAGACCACUGUCGUCUGGUGCAUUAAGCAAAGGACUGUGUGACUAUAUAUAUGGAAAAGCUUGGUGUAGAGAUGGAAAACUUUAAACACCUUUGUAAUAGCACACUUUUGUUUAUUCGUGACGCUUUAAAAAUUGAUGCUGCCCACGUUGCUCUUUCCUAUCUCAAAAAGAUCGUCUCUUUUCCGGAAACUCCUCUCUUCCUUUUUUCACUCGGUAGGGUGAAACAACAAUGCGUUUUCUCCAAGGUGGAUUUAAAAAUAUCAGGUGGUGGACUCUAGUGCAUUUUGACAAUUCGUCACUUGACGGAAGGUCCCCAGGAUUCAAACUUUGUUUACAUUAAUUAAAUUUGUUCAUAUAAUUUAUCUACCCCAUUUUUUCGAAUAAACAUUCUUUAAAAAUAU